rnacentral:piRNA from 1 species
UGCCAUUAGAAUACGGAUGAUGAUUAGUCC